AAUAAACGCUGGCGGCGUGCCUAACACAUGCAAGUCGAGCGAGAAAGCUCCUUCGGGAGUUAGUAAAGCGGCGAACGGGUGAGCAACACGUGAGAAUCUACCCUUUAGUGAAGAAUACCCUCGAGAAAUCGAGGCUAAUACUGCAUACGUCCCUUCGGGGAGAAAGAUGGCCUCUUUGCUAUCGCUAAAGGAUGAGCUUGCGUACUAUUAGCUAGUUGGCGGGGUAAAGGCCCACCAAGGCAAUGAUGGUUAACCGGCCUGAGAGGGUGUACGGUCACACUGGAACUUAGACACGGUCCAGACUCCUACGGGAGGCAGCAGUGAGGAAUCUUGCGCAAUGGGCGAAAGCCUGACGCAGCGACGCCGCGUGGAGGAUGACGGUUUUCGGAUUGUAAACUCCUGUUAAGCGGGAAGAAAGCCUUGUUUCUAAUACAAGCAAGGUAUGACGGUACCGCUAGAGAAAGCACCGGCUAACUUCGUGCCAGCAGCCG
rnacentral:rRNA from 1 species